GAUGAACGCUGGCGGCGUGCCUAACACAUGCAAGUCGAGCGAUCUUUUUCGGAAGAGAGCGGCGGACGGGUGAGUAACGCGUGGGUAACCUGCCCUGUACACACGGAUAACAUACCGAAAGGUAUGCUAAUACGGGAUGAUGUAUUUUGAUCGCAUGGUCGAAAUACCAAAGCUCCGGCGGUACAGGAUGGACCCGCGUCUGAUUAGCUAGUUGGUGAGGUAAUGGCUCACCAAGGCGACGAUCAGUAGCCGACCUGAGAGGGUGAUCGGCCACAUUGGAACUGAGACACGGUCCAAACUCCUACGGGAGGCAGCAGUGGGGAAUAUUGCACAAUGGGCGAAAGCCUGAUGCAGCAACGCCGCGUGAGCGAUGAAGGCCUUCGGGUCGUAAAGCUCUGUCCUCAAGGAAGAUAAUGACGGUACUUGAGGAGGAAGCCCCGGCUAACUACGUGCCAGCAGCCGCGGUAAUACGUAGGGGGCUAGCGUUAUCCGGAAUUACUGGGCGUAAAGGGUGCGUAGGUGGUUUCUUAAGUCAGAGGUGAAAGGCUACGGCUCAACCGUAGUAAGCCUUUGAAACUGAGAAACUUGAGUGCAGGAGAGGAGAGUAGAAUUCCUAGUGUAGCGGUGAAAUGCGUAGAUAUUAGGAGGAAUACCAGUUGCGAAGGCGGCUCUCUGGACUGUAACUGACACUGAGGCACGAAAGCGUGGGGAGCAAACAGGAUUAGAUACCCUGGUAGUCCACGCCGUAAACGAUGAGUACUAGCUGUCGGAGGUUACCCCCUUCGGUGGCGCAGCUAACGCAUUAAGUACUCCGCCUGGGAAGUACGCUCGCAAGAGUGAAACUCAAAGGAAUUGACGGGGACCCGCACAAGUAGCGGAGCAUGUGGUUUAAUUCGAAGCAACGCGAAGAACCUUACCUAAGCUUGACAUCCUUUUGACCUCUCCUUAAUCGGAGAUUUCCCUUCGGGGACAGAAGUGACAGGUGGUGCAUGGUUGUCGUCAGCUCGUGUCGUGAGAUGUUGGGUUAAGUCCCGCAACGAGCGCAACCCUUGCCUUUAGUUGCCAGCAUUAAGUUGGGCACUCUAGAGGGACUGCCAGGGAUAACCUGGAGGAAGGUGGGGAUGACGUCAAAUCAUCAUGCCCCUUAUGCUUAGGGCUACACACGUGCUACAAUGGGUGGUACAGAGGGUUGCCAAACCGUGAGGUGGAGCUAAUCCCUUAAAGCCAUUCUCAGUUCGGAUUGUAGGCUGAAACUCGCCUACAUGAAGCUGGAGUUACUAGUAAUCGCAGAUCAGAAUGCUGCGGUGAAUGCGUUCCCGGGUCUUGUACACACCGCCCGUCACACCACGGGAGUUGGGGGCGCCCGAAGCCAGAUAGCUAACCUUUUGGAAGCGUCUGUCGAAGGUGAAAUCAAUAACUGGGGUGAAGUCGUAACAAGGUAGCCGUAUCGGAAGGUGCGGCUGGAUCACCUCCUUUCUAAGGAGAAUUACCUACUGUUUAAUUUUGAGAGUUCUUAACAGAACUUAAUAUGGGGGUGUAGCUCAGCUGGGAGAGCACUUGCCUUGCACGCAAGGGGUCAGGAGUUCGAUCCUCCUCAUCUCCACCAAUUGUUAUUGUGUAUAUUAGUAAAUAAAACGCGAAGCGUAAAACUACUAAUUUGAGCAACGCAGCACGACUGAAUAGGAGUGACCGUUGGCGACAUGCGAUAGCAUUUUAGUACUUUGAAAACUGCAUAACAUUUAGUGAUAUGACAUCAUUUUAUAUAUAGACAAUAUAAGUCUUUAAAAUAUAAUUGAGAAGAUAAUCUCUUAAAAAAUCAAACUUUAAUAACUUGGUCAAGUUAUUAAGGGUGCAGGGCGGAUGCCUUGGCACUAGGAGCCGAUGAAGGACGUGAUAAGCUGCGAUAAGCUUCGGGGAGUUGCACGUAAACUUUGAUCCGAAGAUUUCCGAAUGAGGAAACUCACUUAGAGUAAUGUCUAAGUAUCGUUAAGUGAAUACAUAGCUUAGCGAGGGGAACCCGGGGAACUGAAACAUCUAAGUACCCGGAGGAAAAGAAAGAAAUUCGAUUCCGUAAGUAGCGGCGAGCGAACGCGGAACAGGCCAAACCAAUGAAGUUUUCUUUGUUGGGGUUGCGGACAUGCAACAUGGAUGCACUAUCGUAAAUGAAGAGAGUUGGAAAGCUCCGCCAAAGAAGGUAAUAGCCCUGUAAUUGAAACGAGAAAGCUACUAGCAUGAUCCAGAGUACCACGGGACACGUGAAACCCUGUGGGAAGCAGGAGGGACCAUCCUCCAAGCCUAAAUACUACCUAGUGACCGAUAGCGCAU
rnacentral:rRNA from 1 species